AUGUCUGUAUGCCCAAGGGAAGUGUUUCACAGAAGAGAGGAGUUUUUCAAGCUGAUCAAGGAAGCCCCAGGAGGCUGUUUAAUUCAAAUACUCCCCACAAAUUGCCCCAAGUGUCCUGGCUGCAGAAUGCUAUACAGGAAUGAAAACAAAGACAUCCAAGCCUUGAGCCAUUUAGAAGAGGAAGAAGCCAAAAUCCAUGCCAGAGGUUCGACUGCUGGGUUUACUUAUGGCUUCAGGCACAAAUUAAUGACCUUCAAACAGUACAGUGAUAUCGUCUUGAGCCCYCUACUCAGCCAAUCUGCUUUGCUCUCAGCUGCUGAACCAUGUCUGAUCACCCCCUUUGAAGGGGAACGUGUGAUGUUGAGGAGCAAUGAGAUGUUUGCAGAGCCAUUUGUAGAAAGAGAAGACCAUCAGGUGGAACAAGGAAGCUGUUUUCUGCAGGAGGAGCCUGAAGCCAAGUAUCAAUUUGUUUUGAAACUGAAAUCCAGAGAUACAUUUCACUUGCCCAUCAUUUGGAGGGUUCAUCUGUGUCACUCAGAAGUGGAAAAGGAUGGGGACAGACACCUGGUGGGAGAAGGGCAGAGAGAAGAGGUGGCUGGAGGAGGCAGCAAUAGUAAGGAUGGAGUGAGCAACAACCAAGUGCUUUGGCGGCCACUGCUAGCAGAGCCAGGAGGGAGAAAUAAAGCCAUGUUCAAGCAGCUGGGCAGAACAAUUGUCAACUAUGCUGAGAAGGCAACAUUUACAACCCCGGUUUGCAAUAUGGGACUACAUCGAGAUCCCCAACUGUACCUCUCACUGAAGGCCCAUAGGAAAAUCCAGAGAGGUGUCAUAUCACUAAAAGAAGAAUACUGGGAAGAGGGAAAAGGUUUAACAAGGUAAACCUUAACUGUUCUUUUUUUCCCAAGACAGCUGAAUAGAAAGACUAUUUCAGAAAGUGACCCCCCCACACACUCUUGCUGAACAAACAUGGUUAUAUCAAGGUGAAGUGGAGCAAAAAUUAUCUGCRUAAGAGCUUAAAUGGAAUAGUCCUCAGCUUCAUGCAAAUUGAAACAUAUGUCAUUUAGCUGAAAUAAAUUCCCUAAUACUCCUUAGUUAUUUUGACA
rnacentral:lncRNA from 1 species